rnacentral:rRNA from 1 species
AUUGAACGCUGGCGGCAGGCUUAACACAUGCAGGUCGAGCGGGGGAAGGUAGCUUGCUACCGGACCUAGCGGCGGACGGGUGAGUAAUGCUUAGGAAUCUGCCUAUUAGUGGGGGACAACAUCUCGAAAGGGAUGCUAAUACCGCAUACGUCCUACGGGAGAAAGCAGGGGAUCUUCGGACCUUGCGCUAAUAGAUGAGCCUAAGUCGGAUUAGCUAGUUGGUGGGGUAAAGGCCUACCAAGGCGACGAUCUGUAGCGGGUCUGUGAGGAUGAUCCGCCACACUGGGACUGAGACACGGCCCAGACUCCUACGGGAGGCAGCAGUGGGGAAUAUUGGACAAUGGGGGGAACCCUGAUCCAGCCAUGCCGCGUGUGUGAAGAAGGCCUUAUGGUUGUAAAGCACUUUAAGCGAGGAGGAGGCUACUCUAGUUAAUACCUAGGGAUAGUGGACGUUACUCGCAGAAUAAGCACCGGCUAACUCUGUGCCAGCAGCCGCCGUAA